rnacentral:rRNA from 1 species
UACGAAGGGGGCUAGCGUUGCUCGGAAUCACUGGGCGUAAAGGGCGCGUAGGCGGACUCUUAAGUCGGGGGUGAAAGCCCAGGGCUCAACCCUGGAAUUGCCUUCGAUACUGAGAGUCUUGAGUUCGGAAGAGGUUGGUGGAACUGCGAGUGUAGAGGUGAAAUUCGUAGAUAUUCGCAAGAACACCAGUGGCGAAGGCGGCCAACUGGUACGAUACUGACGCUGAGGCGCGAAAGCGUGGGGAGCAAACAGG